rnacentral:rRNA from 1 species
AUUGAACGCUGGCGGCAGGCCUACACAUGCAAGUCGAACGGCAGCACAGAAGAGCUUGCUCUUUGGGUGGCGAGUGGCGGACGGGUGAGUAAUGUCUGGGAAACUGCUCGAUGGAGGGGGAUAACUACUGGAAACGGUAGCUAAUACCGCAUAACGUCGCGAGACCAAAGUGGGGGACCUUCGGGCCUCACACCAUCGGAUGUGCCCAGAUGGGAUUAGCUAGUAGGUGGGGUAAUGGCUCACCUAGGCGACGAUCCCUAGCUGGUCUGAGAGGAUGACCAGCCACACUGGAACUGAGACACGGUCCAGACUCCUACGGGAGGCAGCAGUGGGGAAUAUUGCACAAUGGGCGCAAGCCUGAUGCAGCCAUGCCGCGUGUAUGAAGAAGGCCUUCGGGUCGUAAAGUACUUUCAGCGGGGAGGAAGGCGGUGAGGUUAAUAACCUUGCCGAUUGACGUUACCCGCAGAAGAAGCACCGGCUAACUCCGUGCCAGCCGCCGCGGUAA